GUGCUCACUUCAACAGCACUCGUACUAAAACAGAAACCAUACAGAGAUUAGCAUGGCCCCCAUAUAAGGAUGACACACAAAUUCGUGAAGCAUUCCACAAAAAU